AGGUGUCUUGCAAACCUAUUUAUCAUGAAAUUUAUUUUAGAAGUGUCUUUUCUGUGUCAUAUAACACCCUCCCCAGGAGCCCCGGUAUGGUCCUCUCAGAUCAUCUGCCAUCCUGAAAGGCAGGGGUGAAAAGUGAGGAACCCAGAUCUCUGGGGUUCACAUCUCCUCUCUGCCGGUCACUGGCCUGUGUGGCUUUGGGCAAGUGACUCAAGCUCUCUGUUCCUCAGUUUCCUCAUCUGCAAAAUGAGGAUCCUAUGGCAGAGUUAUUGACAAAGAUUACAUGUAUUAGUUUAUUUUAAAGUCUUUAGAACUGAGCGUGGCCUAUAAAACCUACUUACGCAUUACACGUUAUUUUCCUGUUACGGUUCCUGUCUUUCCCCAGUCUGUUACUGCCACAGAUUGUAAAACAACUGCCCUUUGUGUGGCCCGACUGCAUUUGUGGCAGCAAAAGAAAAGAGAGAGACCCUUUAAAACACUGAAAUAUCAUCCACUUCACAGGCAAAUCUUUUUGUAGGUUAAGGAAGAAAAUCAGAAGGUAGGUGCCCACUGUUUUUAAACUUGGAAUGAGGUAUUUUUAAACAGUUUUCAAUUUACUUAAGACUUUUAGUGCAGCGAAUAUUAGUAGGAACAGGAUGUCUGAGAAUGAGGUUAGUGUUCUGCAUAAACCCUGCUUUUAAAAAGCUCACACGAAGGGUCAAAGACCAGGAAAUGCUCUCACUAUAAUUCUCAUUUUCAGCUGAAUUGGACACGGCAACAAGAAUGCAGGCCUGAAUCACAUUAUGUUCCAGGAACCUUUAACUUUGCAUCAUAAUGACCUGCGGCCUAACACAAGCAAAUUGCAAGUGGUUUCAAAAGGGUAAACUCUAAUUUAUAUUAAACUAGUAUUAUAACUUAAGCAGCUCGUUUGGAAAGCAAAACGAAAAACCUCAUCAUUUACGCGAUGGCUCCUCAAUGCCUCCCUUUACAUUUUACCUGUAAAAUGCUCUGUUUGCUGACAGGUUAAAUGUAUACUCUACACAGAGAGCCAACAUUUCUCUUUGUAACCCCGCAGCAAUCUUACUAGUUUUAGCAGCAUUCUUAUUAUUUUAAGCUGUCUCCAUUGUCUUCUAAACACCAUAAUUAGAAGCUGAAAAGCUUACAGCAACCAAACCCAAUAAGGUCUCGUUAUGAACAAAAUAUUCGACUGUAGCUCCACAAGCAACCCCGUGCAGUCUGACGUGAUGAAGCCUUCGUGUCAGCCCUGCCUAAUUAGAGCUCCAGACGUGGAAAAGAAAACCUGCCUGCUAGAAAGAGUUCGGAGCAUGUCUUACUGGCAGAGUGGUAUUUUGUGAAUGAGUUGAAGGGGAGAGUCAGUACGCAGAGGGCUGACAUAAUUCAACUGCUUGACUAAAGAAAGGAGAGCGGGGCUGAUUUCAGGACCCAGGAAAAUGUUUCCCCCACCAGGUCAAGGACUUUUAAUUUCAUGCCUAUCUUCUUUUUCCAUUUGAUUCAAAUUAUACUGCACUACUGUCAGAAAUGUAAUAAAUUAGGCAUUAUCAGUCAUUUACAUCUGAGUAUAAAUUAGUAUAUAAUUAUUUUUCUCUCAUAAAGAAAAGGAGAAAGCAGGAGGUUCUAGAUACCUAAUGAGGGCUGGAGAACAAAAUUUAAAAAAGAAAGAAAACUAAGUUAGAAAGAUCAGAAAACAAAUCUCUUCUAUUCAUCUAUUCCUUUCUCUUCUAUUCUAUUUACCUGGGAUUGUUGUUCACUGGAAUCCCUUGCUUCAGUACAUUGCUAUGUCUUUUUGUGUCGGCAUAGAGUUUGGAAAUAUUAGGUGGGGAGAAAUGAAAUGUAUUCUGAUAUUUAAUAGCUAUUUCAGUGAACACUUUCCCACAGCCGAAGAGACACAAACGAUGCUUGGUUAUGAAGUAUUCUCAUUUCAACCAAGCACGUGAAAUGUAAAACUAAAUCCUGGAUUUUUUUCCCCUUUAUAUUCUGCUGGUGAAACACUGAACUCUGAAAAAUAGGCUCAUCUCAAUCACUUUUAAUAAAUCCUCUUACCUGUCAUAU